ACUGAACGCUGGCGGCAUGCCUUACACAUGCAAGUCGAACGGCAGCACGGGAGCAAUCCUGGUGGCGAGUGGCGAACGGGUGAGUAAUGUAUCGGAACGUGCCCAGUCGUGGGGGAUAACGUAGCGAAAGCUACGCUAAUACCGCAUACGAUCUAUGGAUGAAAGCGGGGGAUCGCAAGACCUCGCGCGAUUGGAGCGGCCGAUAUCAGAUUAGGUAGUUGGUGGGGUAAAGGCCAACCAAGCCUGCGAUCUGUAGCUGGUCUGAGAGGACGACCAGCCACACUGGAACUGAGACACGGUCCAGACUCCUACGGGAGGCAGCAGUGGGGAAUUUUGGACAAUGGGCGCAAGCCUGAUCCAGCAAUGCCGCGUGCAGGAUGAAGGCCUUCGGGUUGUAAACUGCUUUUGUACGGAACGAAACGGCUUUUUCUAAUACAGAGAGCUAAUGACGGUACCGUAAGAAUAAGCACCGGCUAACUACGUGCCAGCCGCCGCCGUAA
rnacentral:rRNA from 1 species